rnacentral:tRNA from 1 species
GUCGUAAUAGCCAAGUGGUAAGGCGUCUAGGGGUACCCGACUAACAAGACUAGAUAAAUCACAGGUUCGACUCCUGUUUACGGCACCA